rnacentral:rRNA from 1 species
CCCUUCGGGGUGGAUUAGUGGCGAACGGGUGAGUAACACGUGGGCAAUCUGCCCUGCACUCUGGGACAAGCCCUGGAAACGGGGUCUAAUACCGGAUACUGAUCGCCUUGGGCAUCCUUGGUGAUCGAAAGCUCCGGCGGUGCAGGAUGAGCCCGCGGCCUAUCAGCUUGUUGGUGAGGUAAUGGCUCACCAAGGCGACGACGGGUAGCCGGCCUGAGAGGGCGACCGGCCACACUGGGACUGAGACACGGCCCAGACUCCUACGGGAGGCAGCAGUGGGGAAUAUUGCACAAUGGGCGAAAGCCUGAUGCAGCGACGCCGCGUGAGGGAUGACGGCCUUCGGGUUGUAAACCUCUUUCAGCAGGGAAGAAGCGAAAGUGACGGUACCUGCAGAAGAAGCGCCGGCUAACUACGUGCCAGCAGCCGCGGUAAUACGUAGGGCGCGAGCGUUGUCCGGAAUUAUUGGGCGUAAAGAGCUCGUAGGCGGCUUGUCACGUCGGUUGUGAAAGCCCGGGGCUUAACCCCGGGUCUGCAGUCGAUACGGGCAGGCUAGAGUUCGGUAGGGGAGAUCGGAAUUCCUGGUGUAGCGGUGAAAUGCGCAGAUAUCAGGAGGAACACCGGUGGCGAAGGCGGAUCUCUGGGCCGAUACUGACGCUGAGGAGCGAAAGCGUGGGGAGCGAACAGGAUUAGAUACCCUGGUAGUCCACGCCGUAAACGGUGGGCACUAGGUGUGGGCGACAUUCCACGUCGUCCGUGCCGCAGCUAACGCAUUAAGUGCCCCGCCUGGGGAGUACGGCCGCAAGGCUAAAACUCA